UGGAAGUGAAGGAAAGAAUGUGGAAUUGGAUUAAAACUUUCGAAAUUUCGGGUGUAGACGUUAGCUUCGAUGCUUGGUGUUCUGGUGACUUUUUGUUGUCGUCUUUUAUUAAGUUUUAGGUACCUCUGGUACCAUUGUUGGCUUUAAUAAUAUUCUCUUUUUCUCUAUCAAAAAAAAAGUUGUGAACUUUGAAAUCUAAUAAAAUUAUGCUUAAAAAUUAAUUACAAUCAUUCAACCUCUAAUAACAAAAACAUAAUGAUGGAUACCGCUCCCAAAAUUUCAAUAUUCUGCCACCAUUAGAAGAAAAUUAGAAUACGUACAAACUCUAUCUCUAUGACUUUUCAAGUAAAGAAAAAUCAAACAAACAGCAUCAGUUAAUUAACUUCACAAAUUGCAUUAAUCACCACGAUCCGAAACAUCACAGCCCGGAUCCGAAUUCAGAUCCAAACCCACACUUCGGUUUCCCUGCGACCUCUCACCCUCCUUCCUCACUCCGUCAAAAUCCUCCCGUUCAAACGUCGGGCUCCACCGCGGCGGCGCCGCCGCAUUCAUCUCAGACUCGGCGCAGCGGCGGUCCUGAAAAUACUUGACGGCCACCUGUAUCCGCUUCAGUAUCGCGAAGAACUCCUCCACCUCCUCGUCCGCCGGCACGGGCCCCUUCACGGCGCCGUCAUCUCGCGGAUUCGCCUUCCUGCCGCCGUUGGAUCCUCCGUCGUCUCCCCGUUUUCUCUUCUCCAUUGGUUGGUGGGUAAGGUUCGGUGUGAAAGCCUCAAUUUAUAGCGACGUCCGUUUUCAACGGACGUACAAUGUGACGUCGUUUGAUGACGCGUGGAGCCUCAGAUUCGUUGGAACUUUGAAAAUAAACAAAAUAUCUGACGAUAUUAUUAAUACCAUUAGGUGUGCAAUUCCAAGAGGAAUCAUAUGUUGCGUCACGUUACAAACGUCAUUGCACCUCCUACUAUCAUCAUCAUCAUCUUAAUUCUCUACCUACCGUUUUAAAUUUUAAAUUUAAAC
rnacentral:lncRNA from 1 species